AUACCUUUCUCGGCCUUUUGGCUAAGAUCAAGUGUAGUGUCUGUUCUUAUCAGUUUAAUAUCUGAUACGAGGGUCAUCGAUCCUCACGAUAUUAAUCUAAUUUCUGUCACGGGUGUGAGUCCAGAGGGGCAGCUUGCUGCUUCGGGCUCGCCGGUGUCGCUUUGGUAUGGCACUACCUCCUCGGCCGGCACAGCCCUC
rnacentral:snRNA from 1 species